rnacentral:lncRNA from 10 species
GGCAGUGAACCAAGACCUCAGUGCCCACAGAUGCCCUUGGUGCCUAUUGUGAAUUUUUUGCAGAGAUGGGGUCUCGUCAUCUUGCCCAGGCUAUUCUCAAACUCCUGGGCUCAAGCAAUCUCCCACCUCGGCCUCCCAAAGUGCUGGGAUUACAGGCAUGAGCCACCAUGCCCAGCCCUAGCUCAUCUUCAUAAACAGAAUAGCUGAUCAGGAGCAAUUGUAGUUGAGCAUUUAUUGGGCGGUUCCUAAAACCUGAUUUCUCCAAUUCCAUUACCAAAUAAACUACCUGGACAAAAGCUAUUGUAUCAGACUCUGCUUAGUCCACACGCAAAAGAAUAAACUUACAGCCGGCAUCAGGCUGGAUUUGUCUCAGGGGCUGUACUUUGCUGACCCCUGGCCUAAGCCAAUGGGACCAAUGUAGUUCCAUUUUCUUGCCAGAAACUGGUUGAAACAUAGGCAUAUGAUACAAGAUCCCUAAAUAUACCAAGAGUAUAUAAAAGAGAUAAAGAUAUUUUAAGAAAUGCUUCUGAACCUUGAACUGUUGGCUCCUCUAAUUUCCUGAUUUAAAUCUCUGAUUCCUUGUUUUAACAUUUAAUUUCUUCUUCGCUUUUGGUUUGUUGUAUUUUCACUUUGCAC